UUCCGGUUGAUCCUGCCGGAGGCUACCGCUAUUGGAGUUCGAUUAAGCCAUGCGAGUAGAAAGAAUUUAGAUUCUUUGCGUACCGCUCAGUAACACGUGGGUAACCUGCCCUAUGCUGGGGAAUAACCUCGGGAAACUGAGAAUAAUGCCCCAUAGCCCACUACGCCUGGAACGGUGAGUGGGUCAAAGCUUCGGCGGCAUAGGAUGGGCCUGCGCCGUAUCAGGUUGUAGGGGGUGUAAAGUACCCUCUAGCCAUCAACGCGUACGGGUGUUGGGAGACAUUGCCCGGAGAUGGAUUCUGAGACACGAAUCCAGACCCUACGGGGUGCAGCAGGCGCGAAAACUUGGCAAUGCGAGCAAUCGUGACCAGGGAACUCCAAGUGCUUAGGGUAAGACCUAAGCUUUUCUUGACUCUUCAAAGGUCUUGGAAUAAGGGGUGGGUAAGGACGGUGCCAGCCGCCGCGGUAAUACCGGCGCCUCAAGUGGUAGUCGCUUUUAUUGGGCCUAAAACGUCCGUAGCCGGUCUGGUGCAUUCGUGGGUAAAUCAACCCGCUCAACGGGUUGAAUUCUGCGAGCACGGCCAGACUUGGGACCGGGAGAGGUGUGGGGUACUCUCAGGGUAGGGGUAAAAUCCUGUCAUCCGGAGAGGACCACCUGUUGCGAAGGCGCCACACUAGAACGGAUCCGACGGUCAGGGACGAAACCUAGGGGCACGAACCGGAUUAGAUACCCGGGUAGUCCUAGGUGUAAACGCUGUGGACUUGAUGUUGGGGGCGCUCCGAGCGCUUUCAGUGUCGAAGCGAAGGUGAUAAGUCCACUGCCUGGGGAGUACGGUCGCAAGGCUGAAACUUAAAGGAAUUGGCGGGGGAGCACUGCAACCUGAGGAUUGUGCGGUUUAAUUGGAUUCAACGCCGGA
rnacentral:rRNA from 1 species